GGGGUUGUGGCUCAGUGGUAGAGUGCUUGCCUAGCAUGUAUGAGGCACUGGGUUCGAUCCUUAGCACCA
rnacentral:tRNA from 1 species